rnacentral:rRNA from 1 species
GAGUUUGAUCCUGGCUCAGGAUGAACGCUGGCGGCGUGCCUAAUACAUGCAAGUCGAACGAAACUUCUUUAUCACCGAGUGCUUGCACUCACCGAUAAAGAGUUGAGUGGCGAACGGGUGAGUAACACGUGGGCAACCUGCCCAAAAGAGGGGGUUAACACUUGGAAACAGGUGCUAAUACCGCAUAACCAUAGUUACCGCAUGGUAACUAUGUAAAAGGUGGCUAUGCUACCGCUUUUGGAUGGGCCCGCGGCGCAUUAGCUAGUUGGUGGGGUAAAGGCUUACCAAGGCAAUGAUGCGUAGCCGAACUGAGAGGUUGAUCGGCCACAUUGGGACUGAGACACGGCCCAAACUCCUACGGGAGGCAGCAGUAGGGAAUCUUCCACAAUGGGCGAAAGCCUGAUGGAGUAACGCCGCGUGGGUGAAGAAGGUCUUCGGAUCGUAAAACCCUGUUGUUAGAGAAGAAAGUGCGUGAGAGUAACUGUUCACGUUUCGACGGUAUCUAACCAGAAAGCCACGGCUAACUACGUGCCAGCAGCCGCGGUAAUACGUAGGUGGCAAGCGUUAUCCGG